AAACCGUUCAGGGGUAAACCUGAGAAACCCAAAAGAUCGAAUGGGGAGAUUCAUCGUCAGCGGCGUUGGCUUCCGUGUGGAUCGCGAUGGCCGGGACCUCGGUUCCGCGUCACGCGUCCGCUGCGGUAUGUCCGACGUCGUCGGCGUGCACUUCUCCCCUAGUAGGACGUCGCGACCCGUUGGGUGCCGGCCUACGGCCCGGUUGGUCGACUGUCGCGUCGCGUUUACGCGUGCACACGGCAGACCACUGGUUGCCCGGCCGGCUGCCCGGCGGUAUAGAUCGCUAUAAAACGGUAUUGAGCCGCAUUAAGUGCGUUCUGGCUCGUCGGCAGGCUCGUCUCGCUCGGAUUUACGGACCUAGUGCCGUUGUCGGGCGCUUGGCGUGGCCGUUAGUCGACGAUGUCCUCGGACUGGCUCUUACAUUCGAACGGAUUUACCGGUCGGCGACGCUACUGCUUUGGGUACUUUCAGGA
rnacentral:rRNA from 1 species